CCGGAAACGGGUGCUAAUACCGCAUUAGUUUUCUUGAUCGCAUGAGUCGGGAAAGGAAAGACGGCCUUUGUGCUGUCGCUUAUGGAUGGACCCGCGGCGUAUUAGUUAGUUGGUGAGGUAACGGCUCACCAAGACGAUGAUACGUAGCCGACCUGAGAGGGUGAUCGGCCACAGUUGGGACUGAGACACCGGCCCAAACUCCUACGGGAGGCAGCAGUAGGGAAUCUUCCGCAAUGGACGAAAGUCUGACGGAGCAACGCCGCGUGAGUGAAAAGAAGGUUUUCGGAUCGUAAAACUCUGUUGUCAGAGAAGAACAAGUUGGAGAGUAACUGCUCCAGCCUUGACGGUAUCUGACCAGAAAGCCACGGCUAACUACGUGCCAGCCGCCGC
rnacentral:rRNA from 1 species